UACGAAGGGGGCUAGCGUUGCUCGGAAUCACUGGGCGUAAAGGGCGCGUAGGCGGCGUUUUAAGUCGGGGGUGAAAGCCUGUGGCUCAACCACAGAAUUGCCUUCGAUACUGUUUGGCUUGAGUUUGGUAGAGGUUGGUGGAACUGCGAGUGUAGAGGUGAAAUUCGUAGAUAUUCGCAAGAACACCAGUGGCGAAGGCGGCCAACUGGACCAACACUGACGCUGAGGCGCGAAAGCGUGGGGAGCAAACAGG
rnacentral:rRNA from 1 species